UGGUAGAGGUGCAGUAGUCAUGUAACUACCCCAGGGUAAAUACACUAUAUUAGAACGAGAGUAACGUAGAGUGGUAGAGGUGCAGUAGUCAUGUAACUACCCCAGGGUAAAUACACUAUAUUAGAACGAGAGUAACGUAGAGUGGUAGAGGUGCAGUAGUCAUGUAACUACCCCAGGGUAAAUACACUAUAUUAGAACGAGAGUAACGUAGAGUGGUAGAGGUGCAGUAGUCAUGUAACUACCCCAGGGUAAAUACACUAUAUUAGAACGAGAGUAACGUAGAGUGGUAGAGGUGCAGUAGUCAUGUAACUACCCCAGGGUAAAUACACUAUAUUAGAACGAGAGUAACGUAGAGUGGUAGAGGUGCAGUAGUCAUGUAACUACCCCAGGGUAAAUACACUAUAUUAGAACGAGAGUAACGUAGAGUGGUAGAGGUGCAGUAGUCAUGUAACUACCCCAGGGUAAAUACACUAUAUUAGAACGAGAGUAACGUAGAGUGGUAGAGAGGUGCAGUAGUCAUGUAACUACCCCAGGGUAAAUACACUAUAUUAGAACGAGAGUAACGUAGAGUGGUAGAGGUGCAGUAGUCAUGUAACUACCCCAGGGUAAAUACACUAUAUUAGAACGAGAGUAACGUAGAGUGGUAGAGAGGUGCAGUAGUCAUGUAACUACCCCAGGGUAAAUACACUAUAUUAGAACGAGAGUAACGUAGAGUGGUAGAGGUGCAGUAGUCAUGUAACUACCCCAGGGUAAAUACACUAUAUUAGAACGAGAGUAACGUAGAGUGGUAGAGAGGUGCAGUAGUCAUGUAACUACCCCAGGGUAAAUACACUAUAUUAGAACGAGAGUAACGUAGAGUGGUAGAGAGGUGCAGUAGUCAUGUAAAUACCCCAGGGUAAAUACACUAUAUUAGAACGAGAGUAACGUAGAGUGG